rnacentral:tRNA from 1 species
GGGAAUGUGGCUCAGUGGUACAGCACUUGCCUGGCAUGCAUGAAGCCUUGGACUUGAUUACCAGCAUUGCAA